UUCCGUCGCCGUCGAACAGACGCAGACGUCGCGACCUGUUCGUCGUCGGUCCCUGUUCGAAGGAGCCGCGGUCGAGUUCGUUGUGGGCGCGUUUACGCGCGUCACACGGCGAAGCCGCGUGCCUCUGGCCGAUCGACGGACAGUAUGUUGUAAACACGGUGUCCGUUGCCGUCGUCUCGUGCGCGCGGUCAACGGUACCGGUCGGCGACGAAUUCUUCGGGCCUCUUUCCGACCCGUCUUGAAACACGGACCAAGGAGUCUAACGUGCGCGCGAGUCGCGGGGUUACAUAACGAAACCCGUGUGUGGAUUCGCGCACUGGAAGGCGUAAUGAAGGUGAACGGGGAAGAUGGCGUUUCCGAGUACACGUUCCGCGAUCGUCGGUAUCGCGGCCGGACGUCCGCAUUCCCAGGGCGUCUCAACGGUCCGUCGCGAAUGUCGGGCGGUCGUCUUUCGGGCCGACCGUCGGUUCGCGCCGAGCCGAGGCGCACCUAGAGCGUGCACGUUGGUACCCGAAAGAUGGUGAACUAUGCCUGGCCAGGAUGAAGUCAGGGGAAACCCUGAUGGAG
rnacentral:rRNA from 1 species